rnacentral:rRNA from 1 species
CCUACGGGAGGCAGCAGUCGGGAAUUUUGGGCAAUGGGCGAAAGCCUGACCCAGCAACGCCGCGUGAAGGAUGAAAUCCCUCGGGAUGUAAACUUCGCAAGAACAGGAAGAAUAAGUGAGAGUUAAUAUCUCUUACGAUGACGGUACUGUUUGUAAGCUCCGGCUAACUCCGUGCCAGCAGCCGCGGUAAUACGGGGGGAGCAAGCGUUGUUCGGAUUUACUGGGCGUAAAGGGCGCGUAGGCGGCCACCGCAAGUCGACUGUGAAAUCUCCGGGCUUAACCCGGAAAGGUCAGCCGAUACUGCGGGGCUAGAGUGCAGAAGGGGCAACUGGAAUUCUCGGUGUAGCGGUGAAAUGCGUAGAUAUCGAGAAGAACACCUGCGGCGAAGGCGGGUUGCUGGGCUGACACUGACGCUGAAGCGCGAAAGCUAGGGGAGCGAACGGGAUUAGAUACCCCGGUAGUCCUAGCCUUAAACGAUGAAUGCUUGGUGUCUGGGGUUUUAUAGUCCCCGGGUGCCGUCGCUAACGCUUUAAGCAUUCCGCCUGGGGAGUACGGUCGCAAGACUGAAACUCAAAGGAAUUGACGG